rnacentral:lncRNA from 1 species
GGGUAUGGUUCGAAGAGUAUAACGCAACGAAAUUAAAACUAAGAGUAGCGUAUAAGCGUGUUCGGUCACUUUUAAAACGAAGUUGGUCCUUUUUCGCAAAAUAAUUUUCUUUCAGAAAAUUAAUCGAACAGUUUGAGUGCAGGCAAAAGUAACAAGUGCAGGGAGUAGAAAAAUCACACAAGUAAUUUUUAUACUGGUUCGNN